rnacentral:misc_RNA from 1 species
GGCAGAAGUCCGUGCAGUAUUCAGUAGUGGCAGUGGUCUUGUUGCUGGAUGCAUGGUAGUAGAAGGAAAGCUGGUAAAGGGCUGUGGCAUUCAAGUUCUGCGGAAGGGUAAAACGGUGUAUAAUGGUCAACUUGAUUCACUGCGACGAGUCAAAGAAAUCGUGAAAGAGGUAAAUGCUGGCUUAGAGUGUGGAGUUGGAAUGGAGGAUUACAAUGAUUGGGAGGUGGGGGAUGUAAUAGAGGCCUUUGACACCAUUAUGAAGAAGCGG